rnacentral:rRNA from 1 species
UACCCAGUGUAACUUUAGUGGCGGACGGGUGAGUAACACGUGAGAAUUUACCUUUAGGAGGGGAAUAGCAGUUGGAAACGACUGCUAAUGCCGCAUAUCAUAUUUAUGAAAGAAGAAAUUCGCCUAAAGAAAAGCUUGCGUCUGAUUAGCUAGUUGGUAAGGGUAAAGGCCUACCAAGGCGACGAUCAGUAGCUGGUUUGAGAGGACGAUCAGCCACACUGGAACUGAGACACGGUCCAGACUCCUACGGGAGGCAGCAGUGGGGAAUUUUCUGCAAUGGGCGAAAGCCUGACAGAGCAAUACCGCGUGAGGGAAGAAAGCCCACAGGGUUGUAAACCUCUUUUGUCAAGGAAGAAGUUCUGACGUUACUUGACGAAUAAGCAUCGGCUAACUCCGUGCCAGCAGCCGCGGUAAGACGGGGGAUGCAAGUGUUAUCCGGAAUCACUGGGCGUAAAGCGUUUGUAGGUGGUUUAGUAAGUCUAUUGUUAAAUCUUGAAGCUUAACUUCAAAAGUGUAAUAGAAACUACUAGACUUGAGGAUAGUAGGGGUAAAGGGAAUUUCCAGUGGAGCGGUGAAAUGCGUAGAGAUUGGAAGGACCACCGAUGGCGAAGGCACUUUACUGGGCUAUUUCUGACACUAAGAGACGAAAG